CCUACGGGAGGCUGCAGUGGGGAAUAUUGCACAAUGGGCGCAAGCCUGAUGCAGCCAUGCCGCGUGUGUGAAGAAGGCCUUCGGGUUGUAAAGCGCUUUCAGCGGGGAGGAAGGCGGUGAGGUUAAUAACCUCAUCGAUUGACGUUACCCGCAGAAGAAGCACCGGCUAACUCCGUGCCAGCAGCCGCGGUAAUACGGAGGGUGCAAGCGUUAAUCGGAAUUACUGGGCGUAAAGCGCACGCAGGCGGUCUGUCAAGUCGGAUGUGAAAUCCCCGGGCUCAACCUGGGAACUGCAUUCGAAACUGGCAGGCUAGAGUCUUGUAGAGGGGGGUAGAAUUCCAGGUGUAGCGGUGAAAUGCGUAGAGAUCUGGAGGAAUACCAGUGGCGAAGGCGACUCUCUGGUCUGUAACUGACGCUGAGGAGCGAAAGCGUGGGGAGCGAACAGGAUUAGAUACCCCAGUAGUC
rnacentral:rRNA from 1 species